GCCCUCGUGGUGAAACGGAUAUCACGCAUGGCUUCGGACCAUGUGUUCCCCGUUCAAAUCGGGGCGAGGGCGCAA
rnacentral:tRNA from 8 species